rnacentral:ribozyme from 1 species
UAGCAGUCAGAAAAAGAAAAGAGAGACGAUUAGAGCGAAGGCAAAAAAAAACUCGGGGGGUGCGCUUAAUUUUGUUGUUGUUGUUUUUGUUAUGCUUUUUUUUUUUCAAUUUUAUAUCUUUUUGC